rnacentral:rRNA from 1 species
GGGUUGUGAGGUUAAGCGACUAAGCGUACACGGUGGAUGCCCUGGCAGUCAGAGGCGAUGAAGGACGUGCUAAUCUGCGAUAAGCGUCGGUAAGGUGAUAUGAACCGUUAUAACCGGCGAUUUCCGAAUGGGGAAACCCAGUGUGUUUCGACACACUAUCAUUAACUGAAUCCAUAGGUUAAUGAGGCGAACCGGGGGAACUGAAACAUCUAAGUACCCCGAGGAAAAGAAAUCAACCGAGAUUCCCCCAGUAGCGGCGAGCGAACGGGGAGCAGCCCAGAGCCUGAAUCAGUGUGUGUGUUAGUGGAAGCGUCUGGAAAGGCGCGCGAUACAGGGUGACAGCCCCGUACACAAAAAUGCACAUGCUGUGAGCUCGAUGAGUAGGGCGGGACACGUGGUAUCCUGUCUGAAUAUGGGGGGACCAUCCUCCAAGGCUAAAUACUCCUGACUGACCGAUAGUGAACCAGUACCGUGAGGGAAAGGCGAAAAGAACCCCGGCGAGGGGAGUGAAAAAGAACCUGAAACCGUGUACGUACAAGCAGUGGGAGCACGCUUAGGCGUGUGACUGCGUACCUUUUGUAUAAUGGGUCAGCGACUUAUAUUCUGUAGCAAGGUUAACCGAAUAGGGGAGCCGAAGGGAAACCGAGUCUUAACUGGGCGUUAAGUUGCAGGGUAUAGACCCGAAACCCGGUGAUCUAGCCAUGGGCAGGUUGAAGGUUGGGUAACACUAACUGGAGGACCGAACCGACUAAUGUUGAAAAAUUAGCGGAUGACUUGUGGCUGGGGGUGAAAGGCCAAUCAAACCGGGAGAUAGCUGGUUCUCCCCGAAAGCUAUUUAGGUAGCGCCUCGUGAAUUCAUCUCCGGGGGUAGAGCACUGUUUCGGCAAGGGGGUCAUCCCGACUUACCAACCCGAUGCAAACUGCGAAUACCGGAGAAUGUUAUCACGGGAGACACACGGCGGGUGCUAACGUCCGUCGUGAAGAGGGAAACAACCCAGACCGCCAGCUAAGGUCCCAAAGUCAUGGUUAAGUGGGAAACGAUGUGGGAAGGCCCAGACAGCCAGGAUGUUGGCUUAGAAGCAGCCAUCAUUUAAAGAAAGCGUAAUAGCUCACUGGUCGAGUCGGCCUGCGCGGAAGAUGUAACGGGGCUAAACCAUGCACCGAAGCUGCGGCAGCGACACUAUGUGUUGUUGGGUAGGGGAGCGUUCUGUAAGCCUGUGAAGGUGUGCUGUGAGGCAUGCUGGAGGUAUCAGAAGUGCGAAUGCUGACAUAAGUAACGAUAAAGCGGGUGAAAAGCCCGCUCGCCGGAAGACCAAGGGUUCCUGUCCAACGUUAAUCGGGGCAGGGUGAGUCGACCCCUAAGGCGAGGCCGAAAGGCGUAGUCGAUGGGAAACAGGUUAAUAUUCCUGUACUUGGUGUUACUGCGAAGGGGGGACGGAGAAGGCUAUGUUGGCCGGGCGACGGUUGUCCCGGUUUAAGCGUGUAGGCUGGUUUUCCAGGCAAAUCCGGAAAAUCAAGGCUGAGGCGUGAUGACGAGGCACUACGGUGCUGAAGCAACAAAUGCCCUGCUUCCAGGAAAAGCCUCUAAGCAUCAGGUAACAUCAAAUCGUACCCCAAACCGACACAGGUGGUCAGGUAGAGAAUACCAAGGCGCUUGAGAGAACUCGGGUGAAGGAACUAGGCAAAAUGGUGCCGUAACUUCGGGAGAAGGCACGCUGAUAUGUAGGUGAAGUCCCUCGCGGAUGGAGCUGAAAUCAGUCGAAGAUACCAGCUGGCUGCAACUGUUUAUUAAAAACACAGCACUGUGCAAACACGAAAGUGGACGUAUACGGUGUGACGCCUGCCCGGUGCCGGAAGGUUAAUUGAUGGGGUUAGCCGCAAGGCGAAGCUCUUGAUCGAAGCCCCGGUAAACGGCGGCCGUAACUAUAACGGUCCUAAGGUAGCGAAAUUCCUUGUCGGGUAAGUUCCGACCUGCACGAAUGGCGUAAUGAUGGCCAGGCUGUCUCCACCCGAGACUCAGUGAAAUUGAACUCGCUGUGAAGAUGCAGUGUACCCGCGGCAAGACGGAAAGACCCCGUGAACCUUUACUAUAGCUUGACACUGAACAUUGAGCCUUGAUGUGUAGGAUAGGUGGGAGGCUUAGAAGUGUGGACGCCAGUCUGCAUGGAGCCGACCUUGAAAUACCACCCUUUAAUGUUUGAUGUUCUAACGUUGACCCGUAAUCCGGGUUGCGGACAGUGUCUGGUGGGUAGUUUGACUGGGGCGGUCUCCUCCUAAAGAGUAACGGAGGAGCACGAAGGUUGGCUAAUCCUGGUCGGACAUCAGGAGGUUAGUGCAAUGGCAUAAGCCAGCUUGACUGCGAGCGUGACGGCGCGAGCAGGUGCGAAAGCAGGUCAUAGUGAUCCGGUGGUUCUGAAUGGAAGGGCCAUCGCUCAACGGAUAAAAGGUACUCCGGGGAUAACAGGCUGAUACCGCCCAAGAGUUCAUAUCGACGGCGGUGUUUGGCACCUCGAUGUCGGCUCAUCACAUCCUGGGGCUGAAGUAGGUCCCAAGGGUAUGGCUGUUCGCCAUUUAAAGUGGUACGCGAGCUGGGUUUAGAACGUCGUGAGACAGUUCGGUCCCUAUCUGCCGUGGGCGCUGGAGAACUGAGGGGGGCUGCUCCUAGUACGAGAGGACCGGAGUGGACGCAUCACUGGUGUUCGGGUUGUCAUGCCAAUGGCACUGCCCGGUAGCUAAAUGCGGAAGAGAUAAGUGCUGAAAGCAUCUAAGCACGAAACUUGCCCCGAGAUGAGUUCUCCCUGAC